GAGACUCUGUGCGCGUGCAUAUCAAUAAGCGGAGGAAAAGAAACUAACAAGGAUUCCCUUAGUAACGGCGAGUGAAGCGGGAAGAGCUCAAAUUUGAAAUCUUCAAGGUUCUACCUUGACGAAUUGUAGUUUAUAGAAGUGUUUUCUGUUAGUAGAGUGGCAAAAGUUCUUUGGAAUAGGACAUCAUAGAGGGUGAGAAUCCCGUAUUUGGUCAUUCCUCCUAGCGUUGUGAUACACUUUCAACGGGUCGGAUUGUCUGGGAAUGCAGUCCAAAAUGGGUGGUAAAUUUCAUCUAAAGCUAAAUAUUGGCGAGAGACCGAUAGCGAACAAGUACCGUGAGGGAAAGAUGAAAAGAACUUUGAAAAGAGAGUUAAACAGUACGUGAAAUUGUCAAAAGGGAAGCGUUUGACACCAGUGUUGUUUUUCCGAAAAUCAAUUACGAACGUUUUGUUUUUAAGAAGUUAUGACUUCAUCGGCUUGCUUCUUUCUUUACGAAACUUUCUUAAUGCACUUUUCGGUUAACAAGUCAACAUCAAUUUCUUUUGUUGUAAAAGAGUACGAGGAAGGUGGCUUUCUUUUCGGAGAAAGUGUUUAUAGCCUUGUACCUCUGCAAUCGGAGAGAUUGAGGUCUGCAGCGUAGAUCCUUCGGGGUUAGAUACAUUUGUGCUAAGUUAUAGCUUUUCAUAGACAACUUGUUGACUAUGUUAGUCUUGUAGCUUACUCGCUUAUGCUAUUUUACCUACGCUUAGGAUGUUGACGAUCAGCUGAGCGCG
rnacentral:rRNA from 1 species